AGAGUUUGAUCAUGGCUCAGGACGAACGCUGGCGGCGUGCCUAACACAUGCAAGUCGAACGGGGCCCGCAAGGGUUCAGUGGCGAACGGGUGCGUAACACGUGAAGAAUUUGUCCAACGGCGGGGGAUAGCCGGCCCAACGGCCGGGUAAUACCGCGUACGCCCUUCGGGAGGCAUCUCCUGAUGGGGAAAGCCGCAAGGCGCCGAUGGAGAACUUCGCGGCCUAUCAGCUAGUUGGUGGGGUAAUGGCUCACCAAGGCGACGACGGGUAGCUGGUCCGAGAGGAUGACCAGCCACAUUGGGACUGAGACACGGCCCAGACUCCUACGGGAGGCAGCAGUGGGGAAUAUUGCGCAAUGGGCGAAAGCCUGACGCAGCGACGCCGCGUGUGGGAUGACGGCCUUCGGGUUGUAAACCACUGUCGCGAGGGACGAAGAUCUGACGGUACCUCGAAAGGAAGCACCGGCUAACUCUGUGCCAGCAGCCGCGGUAAUACA
rnacentral:rRNA from 1 species